AAAUGAAUAGACGGGGGCCCGCACAAGCGGAGGAACAUGUGGUUUAAUUCGAUGAUACGCGAGGAACCUUACCCGGGCUCAAACGACAGGGGAAUAUGUGGGAAACUGCAUAGCCAGCAAUGGUCGCUGUCGAGGUGCUGCAUGGUUGUCGUCAGCUCGUGCCGUGAGGUGUCGGCUUAAGUGCCAUAACGAGCGCAACCCUUAUUGUUAGUUGCCAGCGGGUAAUGCCGGGAACUCUAGCAAAACUGCCGGCGUAAGCUGCGAGGAAGGUGGGGAUGACGUCAAAUCAGCACGGCCCUUACGUCCGGGGCGACACACGUGUUACAAUGGGAGGUACAGAGAGUCGCUACCACGCGAGUGGAUGCCAAUCUUCAAAGCCUCUCUCAGUUCGGAUCGAAGUCUGCAACUCGACUUCGUGAAGCUGGAUUCGCUAGUAAUCGCGCAUCAGCCAUGGCGCGGUGAAUACGUUCCCGGGCCUUGUACACACCGCCCGU
rnacentral:rRNA from 1 species